rnacentral:rRNA from 1 species
AUACAGAGGGUGCAAGCGUUAAUCGGAAUUACUGGGCGUAAAGCGCGCGUAGGUGGUUAGUUAAGUUGGAUGUGAAAGCCCUGGGCUCAACCUGGGAAUGGCAUUCAAAACUGGCUGACUAGAGUAUGGUAGAGGGAAGGGGAAUUCCAGGUGUAGCGGUGAAAUGCGUAGAUAUCUGGAGGAACAUCAGUGGCGAAGGCGCCUUCCUGGACUAAUACUGACACUGAGGUGCGAAAGCGUGGGUAGCAAACAGGAUUAGAAACCCCGGUAGUCC